GUACUAGAUGAAGAUGAGAUGGUGUCUUACAUCCUUGCAGGACUCGACAUGGAGUACAACUCGCUGGUGUCGGCCAUGGCCGCACGUGUGGAGCCGGUGACGCUGGGAGAUCUCUACUCCCAGCUGCUGACGUACGAGA